rnacentral:misc_RNA from 1 species
UCAGACAUUUAUACCUCUUCAGUCGGUCCGUAUAAAGCCAGUAGUUGAGCGGUUGCGGACAUUGGGUGGGAGUGCUCAGCUGGUUUUUGAUGUUAUACAAUUUGAUCAAGCACUGGAGAAGGCUAUAUUAUUUGCUGUUCAGAAUACCAUUGUUUGCAAUGACUUAAAAGAAGCUAAGUAUCUUAGCUGGGAUGGUGAUAGACUUAAAGUUGUGACUCUUGAUGGGAUUUUGUUAACAAAAUCUGGUACUAUGACUGGUGGUACUAGUGGUGGAAUGGAAGCACGAUCUCACAAAUGGGAUGACAAAAAAAUUGACGUGCUUAAGAAGAAAAAAGAAGGUCUCGAGUCAGAGUUGGAGGAGCUUGGAUCAAUAAGGGAGAUGCAGCUUAAGGAGUCUGAAGCAUCUGGCAGAAUCAGUGGACUUGAGAAAAAGAUUCACUAUGCUGAGAUUGAAAAGAAAAGUAUUGCAGACAAACUUCAAAAUUUGGAACGCGAAAAGGGGAGUAUUGAAAAUGAAAUUAGACAUAUCCAGCCUGAACUUGAGCAGUUGAACAGAAAAAUAGAUGCAAGGGCACAAGAGAUCUUAUCACGAGAGAAAAGGAUCAAUGACAUUGUUGACAGAAUCUACAAAAAGUUCAGUGAAUCUGUUGGGGUGAGAAAUAUUAGGGAGUAUGAAGAAAAUCAGCUCAAAGCUGUUCAGGAAAUGUCUGAAGAAAGGCUCAAUUUACAUAAUCAACAAUCGAAGCUUAAGUCACAGUUGGAAUAUGAGCAGAAGCGGGACAUGGAUUCACGAAUUGUAAAACUGGAAUCUACCCUUAAUAACUCAAAAGAGAAAUUAAAGGAGGUUGAGACCAAGGAGUCGGAUCUGAAGUCGUCCAUGGAGAAAGCUACAAAGGAGAUAGACGAUUACAAGGAAGAAGUAUUUGCAUGGAGGUCCAAAUCAGAAGAAUGUGAAAAGCAGCUGCAGGAGUGGCAGAAAAAGAUCUCUGCUGAAACAACUAGCAUUAGCAAACAUAACCGUCAAAUUAAAUCAAAGGAGGCACAGAUUGAACAACUGAAUUCAAAAAAACAGGAAAUAUUGGAGAAAUGUGAACUGGAGCAAAUAGAACUGCCCACUAUCUCUGAUCCAAUGGAUACUGGAGAGUCUACACCUGGCCCUGUUUUUGAUUUCAGUAAACUGAGUAGAACAUAUCAGCAGAUUACGAAGCCCACUGAAAGGGAGAAACAUGAGGUGGAUUUUACUCAGAAAAUUGCUUCCUUGAUGUCGGAGAUAGAAAGAACAGCUCCAAAUCUGAAGGCCCUUGAUCAAUACAAAGAUUUACUGAAAAAGGAGGAAGAUGUUAAUAAAGAAUUUGAAGUGGCCAAAAAUGAGGAGAAGAAAGUUACUGAUGAAUAUAAUAGAGUUAAAGGGGGCAGGUAUGAAUUGUUUAUGAAAGCUUUCAAUUAUAUAUCUGGCAAAAUCGACCAGAUAUACAAGCAGCUCACAAAGAGCAAUACACAUCCUCUCGGUGGGACGGCAUAUCUUAACUUGGAUAAUGAAGAUGAGCCAUUUUUACAUGGUAUCAAGUAUACCGCUAUGCCCCCAACAAAACGGUUUCGGGAUAUGGAACAGCUUUCAGGAGGAGAGAAGACGGUUGCAGCACUUGCAUUGCUUUUUGCUAUCCACAGUUUUAGACCGUCUCCAUUCUUCAUACUGGAUGAAGUUGAUGCUGCAUUGGAUAAUCUGAAUGUUGCCAAAGUUGCUGGAUUCAUUCGAUCAAAGUCGUGUGGAGGUGCUAGGCUUACUCAGGAUCCUGAAGAAGGAUGUGGCUUCCAAAGCAUUGUUAUCUCUCUGAAAGACAGCUUUUAUGACAAAGCUGAAGCUUUGGUUGGUGUUUACAGGGAUGCUGAGAGAGGUUGCUCGAGCACAUUGACAUUUGAUCUGACCAAGUACAGGGAAUCGUGAAAGUCCAAUCUCUUAAUUCUCUGGAGAUGUAGUUCACCGAUGUUUAGAUUGUAUUUAACUGAUCUUUGGUGGGUCGUUAAUAUAACAGUUCAAAUGUAGUGUAGAUUGGUAUAUAAGUGAUCUUGUUACAUUAUAUACAUACAGUUGUUUGAAGUUUCACAACGCUCGUAUCUAAAUGUAUUUUACUUGUGAUUUUAAGUAGUACAUAUUGUGGCUGCG